CUCCAGUAAUAUCACCUACAG
rnacentral:misc_RNA from 1 species